AGAGAAAUAAAGACCUAAUGUAAAAUAAACAAAUGUUGUACUGGUGUAGAUCCAGCAGAGGUCGCCAUCUCUUUCUCCUCUAGCAGUAAAUCUGAUGGCAGGCCAGCUUGUUUACUGCUGGCUGUCAGUAUGGUGGGAUGGUUCUGUAUCAGGAUGUAGAAUAUGAACAGGGUUCAGACAGAAAACUAAAGCUUCAGAAAUGUGUGCAGAAUAAACAAAUCCUGUCCUGCUUUACCUUCAGGCCUGCUCUCAGACUCUCCUCAGCUCUCUCUGUUAUUAAGGGUGUUUAUGAAGAGAAAAGGGAGGGUCUCGUGGGAGGCAGUAUGGAUAGUUGCGGAGAAGGGAAAGGGGGUCACAUGGAAGAAGUACAGCCAUUUUAGGAGUUGUAGCUAAUACAGACUGAUGGGCCGGUGCGUGUGGUUUCCCUUCUAAGCGAACAUUAUGAAAAAUUAAAGCCCCGAAAAUUCGUAAUGUUCUGGCAGCAUGUAGGCUACCUCAGGUCAGAGUGGUGCUCCUUACACACACAUAAAGGUGAACAAUGGCUCAAAUCUGUCUAUAAUUUUCAGAUCAGUUCAGCCCACACUGUAGUAUUUGAGUGUGUACAGUAUAAGGUGUGCAUUACUUAGGUACCUCCAUACUCUGUUAAUAAAAAAAAAAUCAACAUUUGUGGUAGAGCUGUAUGAUGAAUUUAAUGUUUCUUGUUAUUGUGAUGUGAGGUUUCAUGAUACACAUCGCAAAAGCUGUGAUAAUUCCUAAUUAACAGCAACCUCACACUGCAUUAUCUGCAUGCAACACCAGAGAGAGACUGUGCAGGCUUUUAACAUAAUGAGGGCUGGAGGCGAAGCGAGGCAGAGCAAUGUAGGUCAAAGUGAGAUAUAGCGAGGUAGAGUGAGGUACAUCAAGAUAGGAAGAGCUUAGAGUGAGAUCUAGCGAGGUAGAAGGAGCUUAGAGUGAGAUAUAGCAAGGUAGAGCGAGGUACAGCAAGAUAGGAAGAGCUUAGAGUGAGAUAUAGCGAGGUAGAAGGAGCUUAGAGUGAGAUAUAGCGAGGUACAGCAAGGUAGGAAGAGCUAAGAGUGAGAUAUAGCGAGGUGGAAGAAGCUUAGAGUGAGAUAUAGCGAGGUAGAGUGAGGUACAGCAAGGUAGAAGGAGCUUAGAGAGAUAUAUAGCGAGGUAAAAGAAGCUUAGAAUGAAAUAUAGUGAGGUAAAGUGAGGUACAGCAAAGUAGAAGGAGCUUAGAGAGAUAUAUAGCGAGGUAGAAGGAGCUUAGAGUGAGGUAGAGUGAGGUACAGCAAGGUAGAAGGAGCUUAGAGUGAGAUAUAGUGAGGUAGAGUGAAGUACAUCAAGGUAGUUAGAGCUUAGAGUGAGAUCUAGCGAGGUAGAAGAAGCUUAGAGUGAGAUAUAGCGAGGUACAGCAAGGCAGGAAGAGCUUAGAGUGAGAUAUAGCAAGGUAGAGUGAGGUACAGCAAGGUAGGAAGAGCUUAGAGUGAGAUAUAGCGAGGUAGAAGGAGCUUAGAGUGAGAUAUAGCGAGGUACAGCAAGGUAGGAAGAGCUUAGAGUGAGAUAUAGCGAGGUAGAAGGAGCUUAGAGUGAGAUAUAGCGAGGUACAGCAAGGUAGGAAGAGCUUAGAGUGAGAUAUAGCGAGGUAGAAGGAG